rnacentral:lncRNA from 1 species
AAUUGCCUUAUUUUGCAAAGUAUAAUUAUGCACUAGCAUAGUAAUCUGUGCGAUGCGACGGAUAGAUAAUUAGAGAAAAAAUAAAAAAAACAUCGACAUAAAUAAGAAAACGGUGAUAAAAAAAAGCGAUAAUGAGAGGUGAGAUUCAUUUUGCCAAUGAACAAAGAUAACAGUCGAAAAAAGAGAAAGAAAAAAGACUUUAACUGAUUCGGAAUGGAGCGCAUACUCAACAAUAAAGAAAAAAUUGUCAUGUGGCAAUUUUAAUAGGAGAAAUAAUGUAUAGGUGUAAAAGAUAUAGAUAUAGAUAUAUGCUAAGUCCUAAUCACGAUAGAAUCAAGGAAAUUGAGCAUGUAAUGAUUCUCUCAAAUAGCCAACUUGCUCAAGUGAGAAGAUUAAGGAGAAGUUUAAAGAGUAUCCAAUACCAUGAUGUAUAAGAAUUACUAUUUAUCUUACUAUCUUUAAAAAGUGAUUAAUUAGGUUUGAGUCUGAACGCUCCUUACUGUUUUAAAGUAAUGUGAAAUAGUCGUUCUUCGGACAAAACUUCAGUGGGCAGCUCUCCAGCGACGCUUCAUUGGAGAGCUCCUGAUCCACCGCCACGUGUUAGUUUUGUCUCAACUCAAGAAUAUGCUGAGUAUUUUUUAAAUCGUAUGAAAAGGAUUGUAAUCCUUGAACUAAAAGAAAAUUGAUACAUGAUAGCUGAUCGGGAGCUCCUCAACUUCCACCUAACUUUCUCCCUUGUUCUUUUCCACGUGAAUUUGAAUUAAAACCUUAAAUUAAUCAAAACUAGUGCUCUUAAUUUAUUUCUUUAACACAUAACACGCAUAUUGAAUUUUUUCCACUAGAUAAAACACCUCCUUCUCUAUUUUUAAAACCUACUUAAUCAUUUCUUAAAAAUAAAAAAUAAAAAGCUAAUUUGCUCUAAAAUAAUUUUUUUU